AACGAACGCUGGCGGCAUGCCUAACACAUGCAAGUCGAACGAGACCUUCGGGUCUAGUGGCGCACGGGUGCGUAACGCGUGGGAACCUUCCCUUAGGUUCGGAAUAACUCCCCGAAAGGGGUGCUAAUACCGGAUAAUGUCUUCGGACCAAAGAUUUAUCGCCUUUGGAUGGGCCCGCGUUGGAUUAGCUAUUUGGUAGGGUAAAAGCCUACCAAGGCGACGAUCCAUAGCUGGUCUGAGAGGAUGAUCAGCCACACUGGGACUGAGACACGGCCCAGACUCCUACGGGAGGCAGCAGUGGGGAAUAUUGGACAAUGGGCGAAAGCAUGAUCCAGCAAUGCCGCGUGAGUGAUGAAGGCCUUAGGGUUGUAAAGCUCUUUUACCCGGGAUGAUAAUGACAGUACCGGGAGAAUAAGCUCCGGCUAACUCCGUG
rnacentral:rRNA from 1 species